rnacentral:ncRNA from 1 species
GGUAGUAGCAAAUAAUCGAAUGAGACCUUGGAGGAGUGAAGUGGAGAAGGAUUUCGUGUGAACAGUGGUUGAUCACGAGCUAGUCGGUCCUAAGUUCAAGGCGAAAGCUGAAAAUUUUCAAGUUAUAUAUUAAUAAUGUGUAUUUAUAUAUCUAUAUAUAACGUAUAAAACACUUGAAAUUAAUUGAACGAAAGGGAAUACGUUUCCAAUUCCGUAACCUGUUGAGGAUCCGUUUGUUUAUUAAAUGUGGGCCUUGUGCUCAUCCUGGCAAUAGGAACGACCAUAAAGAAGCCGUCGAGAGAUAUCGAAGAGUUUUCUUUUCUGUUUUAUAGUUGUACUACCAUGGAAGUCUUUCGAAGAGAGAUAUGGUAGAUGGGCUAGAAGAGCAUGACAUUUACUGUUGUAUCGAUAUUUUCUCUUCGGACCUUGAAAAUUUAUGGUGGGGUCACGCAAACUUCUCAACAGGCCGUACCAAUAUCCGCAGCUGGUCUCCAAGGUGAAGAGUCUCUAGUC